GUGAGGAAUAUUGGUCAAUGGGCGAGAGCCUGAACCAGCCAAGUUGCGUGAAGGAAGACGGCCCUACGGGUUGUAAACUUCUUUUGCAAUGGAAUAAAAAGAGUUACGUGUAAUUCAUUGUAUGUACAUUGCGAAUAAGGAUCGGCUAACUCCGUGCCAGCAGCCGCGGUAAUACGGAGGAUCCGAGCGUUAUCCGGAUUUAUUGGGUUUAAAGGGUGCGUAGGCGGAUUGGAAAGUCAGCGGUGAAAGUUUGCAGCUUAACUGUAAAAUUGCCAUUGAAACUGUCAGUCUUGAGUGCAAAUGAGGUAGGCGGAAUGUGUUGUGUAGCGGUGAAAUGCAUAGAUAUAACACAGAACACCAAUUGCGAAGGCAGCUUACUGGGAUGCAACUGACGCUGAGGCACGAAAGCGUGGGGAUCAAACAGGAUUAGAAACCCGGGUAGUCC
rnacentral:rRNA from 1 species